rnacentral:rRNA from 1 species
GACGAACGCUGGCGGCGUGCUUAACACAUGCAAGUCGAACGGUAAGGCCCUUCGGGGUACACGAGUGGCGAACGGGUGAGUAACACGUGGGUGAUCUGCCCUGCACUUCGGGAUAAGCCUGGGAAACUGGGCCUAAUACCGGAUAGGACUCCUGCCUGCACGGGUGGGGGUGGGAAGCUUUUGUGGUGUGGGAUGGGCCCGCGGCCUAUCAGCUUGUUGGUGGGGUGAUGGCCUACCAAGGCGACCACGGGUAGCCGGCCUGAGAGGUGGACCGGCCACACUGGGACUGAGAUACGGCCCAGACUCCUACGGGAAGCAGCAGUGGGGAAGAUUGCACAAUGGGCGCAAGCCUGAUGCAGCGACGCCGCGUGAGGGAAGACGGCCUUCGGGUUGUAAACCUCUUUCAGCACAGACGAAGCGCAAGUGACGGUAUGUGCAGAAGAAGGACCGGCCAACUACGUGCCAGCCGCCGCGGUAA